AUUGAACGCUGGCGGCAGGCUUAACACAUGCAAGUCGAGCGGGGUGAUGGUGCUUGCACUAUCACUUAGCGGCGGACGGGUGAGUAAUGCUUAGGAAUCUGCCUAUUAGUGGGGGACAACAUCUCGAAAGGGAUGCUAAUACCGCAUACGUCCUACGGGAGAAAGCAGGGGAUCACUUGUGACCUUGCGCUAAUAGAUGAGCCUAAGUCGGAUUAGCUAGUUGGUGGGGUAAAGGCCUACCAAGGCGACGAUCUGUAGCGGGUCUGAGAGGAUGAUCCGCCACACUGGGACUGAGACACGGCCCAGACUCCGACGUGAUGCAGCAGUGGGGAAGAUUGGACAAUGGGGGGAACCCUGAUCCAGCCAUGCCUCUUGUGUGAAGAAGGCCUUAUGGUUGUAAAGCACUUUAAGCGAGGAGGAGGCUCUUUUGGUUAAUACCCAAGAUGAGUGGACGUUACUCGCAGAAUAAGCACCGGCUAACUCUGUGCCAGCCGCCGCCGUAA
rnacentral:rRNA from 1 species